CCUACGGGCGGCAGCAGUGAGGAAUAUUGGUCAAUGGCCGGAAGGCUGAACCAGCCAUGCCGCGUGAAGGUCAGUGCCCUAUGGGCGUUAAACUUCUUUUGUGCGGGAGCAAUAAUGGUCACGUGUGGCCAGACGAGAGUACCGUACGAAUAAGCAUCGGCUAACUCCGUGCCAGCAGCCGCGGUAAUACGGGGGAUGCAAGCGUUAUCCGGAGUUAUUGGGGUUAAAGGGUGCGUAGGCUGUGAGGUAAGUCAGCGGUGAAAUGCCCCCGCUCAACGGGGUGAAGUGCCAUUGAUACUGCCUUGCUGGAAUGCGGAUGCCGUGGGAGGAAUGUGUGGUGUAGCGGUGAAAUGCAUAGAUAUCACACAGAACACCGAUUGCGAAGGCAUCUCACGAAUCCGCGAUUGACGCUGAUGCACGAAAGCGUGGGUAUCAAACAGGAUUAGAUACCCCAGUAGUC
rnacentral:rRNA from 1 species